GCCGGGAUAGCUCAGCUGGGAGAGCAGUAGACUGAAGUACGGUGUUACUGUGUUCUAAAGGUCCUGUGUUCAAUCCACGGUCCUGGCA